rnacentral:rRNA from 1 species
GCAGUCGAACGAGACGGAUUAUAGCUUGCUAUAAUUGUCAGCUAAGUGGCGCACGGGUGAGCAAUGUAUAGGUAAUAUGCCUCUUACUAAGGGAUAACAAUUGGAAACGAUUGCUAAUACCUUAUACUCCUUAUUAACUUAAGUUAAUAAGGGAAAGAUUUAUUGGUAAGAGAUUAGCCUGUAUUGUAUCAGUUAGUUGGUGGGGUAAUGGCCUACCAAGACUAUGACACAUAACUGGUUUGAGAGGAUGAUCAGUCACACUGGAACUGAGACACGGUCCAGACUCCUACGGGAGGCAGCAGUGGGGAAUAUUGCACAAUGGACGAAAGUCUGACGCAGCAACGCCGCGUGGAGGAUGACACAUUUCGGUGCGUAAACUCCUUUUAUAUGAGAAGAUAAUGACGGUAUUAUAUGAAUAAGCACCCGGCUAACUCCGUGCCAGCAGCCGCGGUAAUACGGGGGGUGCCAAGCGUUACUCGGAAUCACUGGGCGUAAAGAGCAUGUAGGCGGAUUUGAUAAGUUUGAAGUGAAAUCCUAUAGCUUAACUAUAGAACUGCUUUGAAAACUGUUAAUCUAGAAUGUGGGAGAGGUAGAUGGAAUUUCUGGUGUAGGGGUAAAAUCCGUAGAGAUCAGAAGGAAUACCGAUUGCGAAGGCGAUCUACUGGAACAUUAUUGACGCUGAGACGCGAAAGCGUGGGGAGCAAACAGGAUUAGAUACCCUGGUA